AAAAUCUUUCCAAUCAACUACUUGUACGCUAAUGGCGUAAUGUAUAAUUGGAAUUGAAUUAUUUCUGGAUUUACAAAGAAAAACAGCAAGACUUGCCGCAGCCAAAAGUAUAUCAACCGCUUUUAUAGCUUCGCAAAAGAAAGAAUCAUCAUCCUGGACAAUCAAGAACCAAUGGAUCAGAUUUUCUUUCACCAAAACAUUUUUGUAUGCAUUGAAAAAGAAGUCAAAGUUACUUCUAUGAAAGAAUUACGAAACUUCUUAAUUUCUGUUAUCGUAUUUUGUUGGAGAUAGUUCUUGAUCGAUAAAAAAAGAGGCUAUACGCGAAGCGUGUGACGUACAGUAUGAAGAAAAGAAUUGUGAAGCUGUGACAGAUGAAUGUCCAAAAAAUAAUCUUUUAUAGGACCAAAUCUUUCUGUAAUAAUUGGAGCAUUUAAACCCGCAAAAAUUGUCGGUAUUCCCAGAGGUUUGAAAAAACUUGUUUCCUCAAAAAUGAAGAGUCUACGGUACACAGAACUUAUAUAUUAUAUUAUAUAGAAAUCCUUGGAAUGCGCCACUUCUGAGUCUAUUAAAAGUCUUUACAAUCAAUUACUUACCAUACAUGGCAGUAGUGUAAUAUAAAUUUGAAUGGAAUUAUUUCAGGACUUAGAAAGGUAUCAUAAUCGGAUAUAUGUGUAAUCGUCUUUAAUAUGAAUGGGUUUUUGAUAUAAUUGUACUUUGGACGGCUCAUGUUUCCUUAUCGAGUGCCUCUUUGUCAAGAGCUAACAAAGUUUCAUUUCAAUUUAAUCUCGAUAUCGUUCUUUGUUUUAUUUCAAUAAUCGAUUCGUUUACCCUUUCUCUCUCUCUCUCUCUAUAUAUAUAUAUAUAUAGUAUAUAAUACAUAACAGAAAUGAGUAACUAAGGGUUUACAAAAAAACAUUAUCAUAUACAUAUUCAUAUACGCCUCAAUGCAAUUACGACUUACAUCUUGCAUCGAAAAAUGACAAUAGUCGACUAUAAUUAGUGAAUUUCUUAAUCAGUGGUAUUACAUCUUACAUUGAUACAUUUGUGAAGAGCUUUGUUAUCUACGGCCAGUUGAAAGGCACUUUAACUAUUAACCGAGGUAUUGAAAUCUUUUAUCAAAAGUCUUAACGUUAACGACAAACGAAUAAAAGAUUGUAUUAGAGUUUAAUUCGAUAUCUUCCAUUGUAUCUUCCAAUAUAAUAAUGUAAAGUUUAUUAACGAGAAGUAGAAUCAUAUAUCUAAUUAAAAAUAAACAACUAAUAGAUUUCGUUCCAUUACACAAAUGUAUAUACAUACAUUUAUGCGUACACAUUAAAAGUAUUGCUAAUAAAAAAUCAAUGGAAUUAUAGAAAACAUUUCAUUGUAAAUUGAUGCCGACAAUAACAAAUACCCUUCAAUAAUGUGUAAUUUUUUCUUUUUCUAUUAAGUAUUAAUUUCUUUGUUAAUCAAUUUAAACAUUUUUAGUUCAUAAUGAAUUCUAUCAAUAACAAUAUCAGAUAUUUAAUUUUGGCUCAUUGCAGAAGAAAGGUUGCUCAUUACUGUCUACACAAUAUAAUAAACCUCAAGCAAUACCCAAGGAAAGACUACUAUAUACUUUGUGUAUGUGUGCGUGGGUGUGUAUAUUAUGUAUCUAGUUAUGUACAUAUGUAUCUAUUUACAAACGUAUGUUUAUAUGGGAUCUUCCAACAUUCCACCUUGGUGGUUACCGAAAGACUGAUCUCAUACGAUAUUCGACAGAAAGUACAUAACAUAAGGUGUAUUUAGAUAUUUCACCUUAUAUAGAAACAUAUAAACAUUGUAAUAAUUUUUGCUUUGUAUAUGUCAGCUAGUAAAUGGUAUAAACAUUCUCUUUUUCUUUCAGUGUAAUAAUAUUAUAUAUAUAUAUAUAUAUAUAUAUAUAUAUAUAUAUUAAAAUUUUUAUAAUUUAAUUAGUUAAUUAAUCAAAAUCAAAAAAUAAAAGAAAGCAACAGGAAUAGAAAAAUACGAGACCUCAUCGAAAACUCCGUUUGUUAGAAAACAAUGUACUUUCAUCUCUCUCUCUCUCUCUCUCUCUCUCUUCCUCGCUCUGUUUUGCUAUUUUUUUCUUAAUUUUUCUGUAUGCACAUGUACGCGUAUGUACGUAAUACGUAUAUGCCUUUUAACAAAUGUAAUAUCGUUUGGUAUCGAUAUAUUUUAUAUAUAGAAAGAUCGUCGACGAUCGAACGUGAUGCGUGUACCUGAUCGUGACACCCUUAUUUCAAUAUUGUAAAUUUAAUUUGUCAACGAGGUAUAAAUUCUAUAUUCAUUUAAAUACACAUACCUUGAUAUGUGUAUGAAUAAUGCAUAUUAAUCAUAAUACGCAUUAAAUGACACGUUUAAAUGAAAUCCCACAUUAAAAUUUACAUUGUACUAGAUACAUAUACUACAUAAGAACAAGAAAGCAAAAUUGAAUAUACCAAGAUACUUUAUUCUUCUUCUUCUUCUUCUUCUGCAUAUUAUUGUUGUUGUUAUUAUUGUUAUUAUUAUCCUUAUUGUAUUUAGAAAUCUAUCAUAAUUGAAGAUAUUGGGAAAUAAAGAUGAGAUUUCUUUCUUAUUCUUCUUAUCUGUUUUUUUUUUCUUUUUCUUUUCUUUUAUAUGAAUAAUAAGAAAUAUAAGGUAUCAUAAUCAGAUACAUAUGUAAUCUUCUUUAGUUUGAAUGGGUUUUUGAUAUAAUUGUACUUUGGACGGCUAAUGCUUCCUUAUCGAAUUCCUUUUUGUCAAGAGCUAACAAAGUUUCUUUUCAAUUUAAUCUCGAUAUCGUUCUUUGUUUUAUUCAAAUUCUCGAUUCCUUUACCCUUUUUCUUUCUCUCUCUCUCUCUCUCUCUCUCUCUGUAUAUAUAUAUACAUAUUAUAUAUAAUAUAUAAUACAUAUAUAUAUCUGUAUAUAUCUGAAUCUGUAUCAGAAAUGAGUAACUCAGGGUUUAUAAAAAAACAUUAUCAUAUACGUAUUUAUCCCCGUAUCAAUGCAAAUACGACUUACAUCUUGCAUUGAAAAAUGACAAUUGUCGACUAUAAUUAGUGAAUUUCUUAAUCAGUGGUAUUACAUCUUACGUUGAUACAUUUGUGAAGAGCUUUGUUAUCUACGGCCAGUUGAAAGGCAUUUUAACUAUUAACCGAAGUAUUGAAAUCUUUUAUCAAAAGUCGUAACGUUAACGACAAACGAAUAAAAGAUUGUAUUAGAGUUUAUUUCCAAA